rnacentral:rRNA from 1 species
GGGUUGUGAGGUUAAGCGACUAAGCGUACACGGUGGAUGCCCUGGCAGUCAGAGGCGAUGAAGGACGUGCUAAUCUGCGAUAAGCGUCGGUAAGGUGAUAUGAACCGUUAUAACCGGCGAUUUCCGAAUGGGGAAACCCAGUGUGAUUCGUCACACUAUCAUUAACUGAAUCCAUAGGUUAAUGAGGCGAACCGGGGGAACUGAAACAUCUAAGUACCCCGAGGAAAAGAAAUCAACCGAGAUUCCCCCAGUAGCGGCGAGCGAACGGGGAGCAGCCCAGAGCCUGAAUCAGUGUGUGUGUUAGUGGAAGCGUCUGGAAAGGCGCGCGAUACAGGGUGACAGCCCCGUACACAAAAAUGCACAUACUGUGAGCUCGAUGAGUAGGGCGGGACACGUGGUAUCCUGUCUGAAUAUGGGGGGACCAUCCUCCAAGGCUAAAUACUCCUGACUGACCGAUAGUGAACCAGUACCGUGAGGGAAAGGCGAAAAGAACCCCGGCGAGGGGAGUGAAAAAGAACCUGAAACCGUGUACGUACAAGCAGUGGGAGCACGCUUAGGCGUGUGACUGCGUACCUUUUGUAUAAUGGGUCAGCGACUUAUAUUCUGUAGCAAGGUUAACCGAAUAGGGGAGCCGAAGGGAAACCGAGUCUUAACUGGGCGUUAAGUUGCAGGGUAUAGACCCGAAACCCGGUGAUCUAGCCAUGGGCAGGUUGAAGGUUGGGUAACACUAACUGGAGGACCGAACCGACUAAUGUUGAAAAAUUAGCGGAUGACUUGUGGCUGGGGGUGAAAGGCCAAUCAAACCGGGAGAUAGCUGGUUCUCCCCGAAAGCUAUUUAGGUAGCGCCUCGUGAAUUCAUCUCCGGGGGUAGAGCACUGUUUCGGCAAGGGGGUCAUCCCGACUUACCAACCCGAUGCAAACUGCGAAUACCGGAGAAUGUUAUCACGGGAGACACACGGCGGGUGCUAACGUCCGUCGUGAAGAGGGAAACAACCCAGACCGCCAGCUAAGGUCCCAAAGUCAUGGUUAAGUGGGAAACGAUGUGGGAAGGCCCAGACAGCCAGGAUGUUGGCUUAGAAGCAGCCAUCAUUUAAAGAAAGCGUAAUAGCUCACUGGUCGAGUCGGCCUGCGCGGAAGAUGUAACGGGGCUAAACCAUGCACCGAAGCUGCGGCAGCGACGCUUAUGCGUUGUUGGGUAGGGGAGCGUUCUGUAAGCCUGCGAAGGUGUGCUGUGAGGCAUGCUGGAGGUAUCAGAAGUGCGAAUGCUGACAUAAGUAACGAUAAAGCGGGUGAAAAGCCCGCUCGCCGGAAGACCAAGGGUUCCUGUCCAACGUUAAUCGGGGCAGGGUGAGUCGACCCCUAAGGCGAGGCCGAAAGGCGUAGUCGAUGGGAAACAGGUUAAUAUUCCUGUACUUGGUGUUACUGCGAAGGGGGACGGAGAAGGCUAUGUUGGCCGGGCGACGGUUGUCCCGGUUUAAGCGUGUAGGCUGGUUUUCCAGGCAAAUCCGGAAAAUCAAGGCUGAGGCGUGAUGACGAGGCACUACGGUGCUGAAGCAACAAAUGCCCUGCUUCCAGGAAAAGCCUCUAAGCAUCAGGUAACAUCAAAUCGUACCCCAAACCGACACAGGUGGUCAGGUAGAGAAUACCAAGGCGCUUGAGAGAACUCGGGUGAAGGAACUAGGCAAAAUGGUGCCGUAACUUCGGGAGAAGGCACGCUGAUAUGUAGGUGAAGUCCAUCGCGGAUGGAGCUGAAAUCAGUCGAAGAUACCAGCUGGCUGCAACUGUUUAUUAAAAACACAGCACUGUGCAAACACGAAAGUGGACGUAUACGGUGUGACGCCUGCCCGGUGCCGGAAGGUUAAUUGAUGGGGUUAGCGCAAGCGAAGCUCUUGAUCGAAGCCCCGGUAAACGGCGGCCGUAACUAUAACGGUCCUAAGGUAGCGAAAUUCCUUGUCGGGUAAGUUCCGACCUGCACGAAUGGCGUAAUGAUGGCCAGGCUGUCUCCACCCGAGACUCAGUGAAAUUGAACUCGCUGUGAAGAUGCAGUGUACCCGCGGCAAGACGGAAAGACCCCGUGAACCUUUACUAUAGCUUGACACUGAACAUUGAGCCUUGAUGUGUAGGAUAGGUGGGAGGCUUUGAAGUGUGGACGCCAGUCUGCAUGGAGCCGACCUUGAAAUACCACCCUUUAAUGUUUGAUGUUCUAACGUGGACCCGUGAUCCGGGUUGCGGACAGUGUCUGGUGGGUAGUUUGACUGGGGCGGUCUCCUCCUAAAGAGUAACGGAGGAGCACGAAGGUUGGCUAAUCCUGGUCGGACAUCAGGAGGUUAGUGCAAUGGCAUAAGCCAGCUUGACUGCGAGCGUGACGGCGCGAGCAGGUGCGAAAGCAGGUCAUAGUGAUCCGGUGGUUCUGAAUGGAAGGGCCAUCGCUCAACGGAUAAAAGGUACUCCGGGGAUAACAGGCUGAUACCGCCCAAGAGUUCAUAUCGACGGCGGUGUUUGGCACCUCGAUGUCGGCUCAUCACAUCCUGGGGCUGAAGUAGGUCCCAAGGGUAUGGCUGUUCGCCAUUUAAAGUGGUACGCGAGCUGGGUUUAGAACGUCGUGAGACAGUUCGGUCCCUAUCUGCCGUGGGCGCUGGAGAACUGAGGGGGCUGCUCCUAGUACGAGAGGACCGGAGUGGACGCAUCACUGGUGUUCGGGUUGUCAUGCCAAUGGCACUGCCCGGUAGCUAAAUGCGGAAGAGAUAAGUGCUGAAAGCAUCUAAGCACGAAACUUGCCCCGAGAUGAGUUCUCCCUGACUCCUUGAGAGUCCUGAAGGAACGUUGAAGACGACGACGUUGAUAGGCCGGGUGUGUAAGCGCAGCGAUGCGUUGAGCUAACCGGUACUAAUGAACCGUGAGGCUUAACCUUACAACGCCGAAGCUGUU